rnacentral:rRNA from 1 species
UACUAUGAGGCUGUACGCGGCUGUGCUCUCGGGCGCAGUGCUGCUGAGGCUGGAUUAUUUAUUUACCCUUGUCUUUUGCGCACUUGUUGUUUCCUGGGCGGGUUCGCCCGCCGCCAGGACCACACCAUAAACCUUUUUUUAUGCAGUUGCAAUCAGCGUCAGUACAACAAAUGUAAAUCAUUUACAACUUUCAACAACGGAUCUCUUGGUUCUGGCAUCGAUGAAGAACGCAGCGAAAUGCGAUACGUAGUGUGAAUUGCAGAAUUCAGUGAAUCAUCGAAUCUUUGAACGCACAUUGCGCCCUUUGGUAUUCCAAAGGGCAUGCCUGUUCGAGCGUCAUUUGUACCCUCAAGCUUUGCUUGGUGUUGGGCGUCUUGUCUUUUGGCUCUUUGCCCAAAGACUCGCCUUAAAACGAUUGGCAGCCGGCCUACUGGUUUCGCAGCGCAGCACAUUUUUGCGCUUGCAAUCAGCAAAAGAGGACGGCACUCCAUCAAGACUCCUUCUCACGUUUGACCUCGGAUCAGGUAGGGAUACCCGCUGAACUUAAGCAUAUCAAUAAGCGGAGGAA